rnacentral:rRNA from 1 species
ACUUGAAUAUUAAUAGUUAUGACCUUAAAAUUCAAAGAAUUUGGCGGUAUUUUAGUCUUGUUAGAGGAACCUGUUCUGUAAAUGAUACAACACGAAUAAUCUUACUUACUCUUGUUUUACAGCUUGUAUACCGUCAUUAUUAGAUAACCUUUGUUGAGGAAGUUAUUGAAAUUUAAGAAGUUAAGGGUAUAUUAGAUCAAGGUGCAGUUUAUGGGUAAGAAGAAAUGGGUUACAAUAAAAUUUAUUUAUUACGUAUCAAGUGAUUGAAUAAUUUCUGUGAAGGAGGAUUUAAUUGUAACAUAUAAUUUAAUAAGUUUAUGUGAUAUGAGAAUUAAAAUAUGUACAUAU